rnacentral:rRNA from 1 species
GAGACUCUGUGCGCGUGCAUAUCAAUAAGCGGAGGAAAAGAAACUAACAAGGAUUCCCCUAGUAACGGCGAGUGAAGCGGGAAGAGCUCAAAUUUGAAAUCUUAAAGGGUUUCCCUUUACGAAUUGUAGUUUAAAGAAGUGUUUUCUGUUGGAGUUUCGGUAAAAGUUCUUUGGAAUAGGACAUCAUAGAGGGUGAGAAUCCCGUAUUUGACCGUUACUUUCCAGCUGUGUGAUACACUUUCAAAGAGUCGGAUUGUUUGGGAAUGCAGUCCAAGAUGGGUGGUAAAUUUCAUCUAAAGCUAAAUAUUGGCGAGAGACCGAUAGCGAACAAGUACCGUGAGGGAAAGAUGAAAAGAACUUUGAAAAGAGAGUUAAACAGUACGUGAAAUUGUCAAAAGGGAAGCGUUUGACACCAGUGUUGUUUAGUUGAAAAUCAAUUCAAUAGUUUUUGAUCCUAAGUAGUAUUGACUUCAUCAGCUUGCUGCUUUCUUCUCAGAAAUUAUUGAAUGCACUUUUCAGUUAACAAGUCAACAUCAAUUUCUUUUGUUGUAAAAGGGUAGAGAGGAAGGUGGCUUGCGCUUCGGCUCAAGUGUUUAUAGCCUUUUAUCUCUGCAAUCGGAGAGAUUGAGGUCUGCAGCGUAGAUCCUUCGGGGUUAGAUACAUUGGUGCUAAGCUAUAGCCUUGUAUAGACAACUUGUUGACUAUGCUCAGUCAUGUAGCUUACUCGCUGAUGCUAUUUUACCUACGCUUAGGAUGUUGAAGAUGUAGCACAUCAU